rnacentral:rRNA from 1 species
AAUGGCUGCAGUAAUUUGACUGUACAAAGGUAGCAUAAUCAUUAGUUUUUUAAUUAAAAGCUUGUAUGAAAGGUUGGACGAAAUAAAUUCUGUCUCUUUUUAAUAAAAUUAGAAUUUAAUUUUUAAGUUAAAAAGCUUAAAUAUUUAUAAAAGACGAGAAGACCCUAUAGAGUUUUAUAAUUUAAAUUUAUUAAUUAAUUUAGAUUUAUUAAUUUUAUUUUUUUUAAAUUAUUUUAUUGGGGUAAUAGAAAGAUUAAAAAAAUUCUUUUUUUUAUAAAAAUCAUUAAUUUAUGAAAAUUUUAUGAUCCAUUAAAUUUUGAAUAUAAGAUUAAAUUACCUUAGGGAUAACAGCGUAAUUUUUUUAAAGAGUUCAUAUCGAUAAAAAAGUUUGCGACCUCGAUGUUGGAUUAAAGAUUAAUUUAGGUGUAGAAGUUUAAAUUUUUGGUCUGUUCGACCAUUGAAUCUUUACAUGAUCUGAGUUCAAACCGGUGUAAGCCAGGUUGGUUUCUAUCUUUAUUAAAAUUUUAUAUUUCAGUACGAAAGGACCAAUUAUAUUAUAUAUUUAUAUUUAAAUUAUUGAAUAU